CAGUGAUGGGUUUACCUGGCUGUUAAUUAGUUUACCUGGACAGCCUGGCUAUUCUUUUUGGAUGAUAACUACUUAAUUCCUGAGUCCAGGUCACAGUCUCACCCUAUUCAUACACAGACACACCCUUAAGCCAGGAUUUGUGAACAAAGAGACAAUGGGGAGCCUUUUCCAUUUCCUUCCUCCGUGCAGAGAAAUAUUUGAGGUGACUGAAAGAGUCAAAAUGGCUUUAGGACUGUUUUCCUGUGCUGUUUCCAGACAUGUGGUUUAUAUAUUUAUGUU